AGAGUUUGAUCAUGGCUCAGAAUCAACGCUGGCGGCGUGCCUAACACAUGCAAGUCGAACGCGAAAGUGGAGCAAUCCAUGAGUAGAGUGGCAAACGGGUGAGUAACACGUGGGUGACCUGCCUUCGAGCGGGGGAUAACGUCCCGAAAGGGACGCUAAUACCGCAUAACAUCCUGCUUUUUAAGAGGUGGAGAUCAAAGCUGGGGAUCGCAAGACCUAGCACUCGAAGAGGGGCCCGCAUCCGAUUAGCUAGUUGGUGGGGUAGUGGCUCACCAAGGCAACGAUCGGUAGCCGGCCUGAGAGGGCGGACGGCCACACUGGGACUGAGACACGGCCCAGACUCCUACGGGAGGCAGCAGUGGGGAAUAUUGGACAAUGGGGGCAACCCUGAUCCAGCAAUGCCGCGUGUGUGAAGAAGGCCUUCGGGUUGUAAAGCACUUUUGUCCGGAACGAAACGUGCGGGGCGAAUAGCCUCGUAAACUGACGGUACCGGAAGAAUCAGCACCGGCUAACUUCGUGCCAGCCGCCGCGGUAAUUC
rnacentral:rRNA from 1 species